rnacentral:rRNA from 1 species
UACGUAGGUGGCAAGCGUUAUCCGGAAUUAUUGGGCGUAAAGCGUGCGUAGGUGGUUCGUUAAGUCUGAUGUGAAAGCCCUGGGCUCAACCUGGGAAUGGCAUUGGAUACUGGCGACCUAGAGUGCGGUAGAGGGGUGUGGAAUUCCCGGUGUAGCAGUGAAAUGCGUAGAUAUCGGGAGGAACAUCUGUGGCGAAGGCGACACCCUGGACCAGCACUGACACUGAGGCACGAAAGCGUGGGGAGCAAACAGG